GCCUACGGGGGGCAGCAGUGAGGAAUAUUGGUCAAUGGUCGGGAGACUGAACCAGCCAAGCCGCGUGAGGGAUGAAGGUACAGAGUAUCGUAAACCUCUUUUGUCAGGGAACAAAGGCGGGGACGUGUCCCCGGAUGAGUGUACCUGAAGAAAAAGCAUCGGCUAACUCCGUGCCAGCAGCCGCGGUAAUACGGAGGAUGCGAGCGUUAUCCGGAUUUAUUGGGUUUAAAGGGUGCGCAGGCGGUCUGUUAAGUCAGCGGUCAAAGCCCGGGGCUCCACCCCGGCCCGCCGUUGAAACUGGCAGU
rnacentral:rRNA from 1 species